GAGGCGACCUGAUUAGUCAGUUUGGAUGCUUGCAAAUUUGAAAGCUCUAUUCUUGAUACUGUCAAUGAUCACCCAUAGGCAUAUCGUCGUGAGAACAAUAAAUGUAAUGUACUUCGUUAACCGUCCGUCUUCGUCAGAUUAUAGCCGAAACGCCAGAAAAUGGAAAUCAAUACAGGAACAGUUUAGGUAAUUCAUAGAGCUUGAGAUGUCUGGAACAGUUCUUCAGUACAGAGCGCUAGUUGGAAAAGUUCAAGCAAAUACAUGGACAGAGCUAACAGUAGUAAUCAGAUAUGUGAUUGGUGUUUGGUUUAAGGGCAUCAAACCAAAAUGCCAGUGAACUUCUUCCAGAUUGUAUCGCACAGGUUUUGGAAGGAACCCUGACAGGUGUCCAGGUUUGAUACAGUGAAUGUUUGCUGAAGCCAUGUCCAGUUUUGGUACAGUGAAUGUUUGCUGAAGGCAUGUCCAGGUUUGGCACAGUGAAUGUUUGCUGAAGGCAUGUGGUGCGGCACUGAUGGCUGGAUUUGUGUAGAGGUCAAUAUGCUG